CAGUCUUCUGGAGAAGCAUCAAACCUGGUUCGAAUGAGAAACCAGUCACUUGGACAGUCUGCACCUUCUCUUACUGCUGGCUUGUUGACCUCAUAAUUUUCAGCCCCACUUGAAGUGAAUUAUCUGAGCUGAAGGGACGAAGAUUAUUGCCGGCAAAGUGAAUUAAUGGGCUCCUUUCCCUCGUUGCAUUUCUCAAGAGCUAUUUGGACUUAUUUUUAAAUCUUUAUGCUAGACAUCUGGUCUAACAAAGGAGACAUAAACUUCUAAGUGGAAUGAGGACUUUUUAGAUGUAUGGGCACCUUGUAAAUAAAGAAUACCUUUUUAAGGAAUAAAAUAAAUAAAAUAAAUAAACCCUGCACCCAUCUUCUCACAAUGCAGUGUGAAAGCUAGGAAGCUGAUGUUAGUAUAAAUACUGUUUACUGGA